GGGUUUGGGAGAGGGGGAUUGCAUUAGGGACAUUGGGGGAUAUAUGCUAUGGUGAGUGCUGUGAAGUGUGUAAGCCUGAUGAUUCACAAACC